rnacentral:lncRNA from 1 species
CAUCUAUCGCCUAAGUGAUGUGACUCUUUUUCUGCCUGCAGCCUGCACAUAGAGAAGAUUGUGACAUAUAGCUCUGCCCAGUAACCAGGUGAUGUGUCUUUUCUGGCAGGUCUUUUCCCACAGGGAGCAUUGUGAAACAUCACUGGGCUCAGCCACCAGGAGACAUGCCCAAAAAAGGGAUUGUGGCAUAUCUCUGAGCCCAGCACCCAAAUGUUGUGACUCUCCUGCCUGAGCUGUGCCUAGAGAAAAUAUUAUAAUAUGUCACCGGACCCUGCAUGCAAGUGAUCCAAUUCUCCAGUCUGGGCCUUGCCCAUAGAGGAGAUUGAGACAUAUUCCAGGUGAAGAAUUCAGGUCAUGCAAAUGGAGGCGGAUUUUGACAUAUCAUAAAGCCAACAUAAUACACAGUCUGCAGGUGGAAUUGGGACUCUCAUGCAUGGAUCCAGUUCAUCAUUGAUACUGUGACUCAUGUACUUGGAUGCAACUCACAGGAGGUGUUGACGCUUUUUACCUGAAGCUGGGACAUGUGUGGAAUUGUGAAUCCUAGCCCUAGAUCUUCCCACAGGUCAUGCAAAUGGAGGGGGAUUGUUACAUAUCAUAGGGCCAACACAAAAAUAAUGUAAAACUCCUGCCUGAGCCAUGCCCAUAGAAGGCAUUGUGACAUAUCACCCGUCACAGCACUCAGGUGGGAUUUUGACAUAUAACUGCACCCAGCACACAGGUGAAGUAUCUCGUAUGCUCAUCCUGCCAAAAGUUAUGAGUGUCACCCUCACACAUGGACAGAGACCUCUGGUUA